AACAAUAAACAAAGUGAAAUAUAAAAUUUUUUUUUUAUUAUUCUAUUGUAUAUUUUAAGUUUGUUUUUGUGUGAUUUAUUCCAUUUCCACCUUGAAAAAAAAAUAAAAAAAAAAAAGUUUCUUUUCUUUCGAAAAACGAUUUCGAAGGAUAUUUUGUAUAACAGACAAAAAAUAAUUUUAAUAGAAUAUUGAAAAAAUGUGAAAAUUCAUAAAGAAAAAAAUAUUUAAAUAAAAAUCCCAAAAAAAAAAAAUUAAAUAUAAAUUUAAUGAAAUCAGAAAUCGAAUGAUUUUAAUGGAAAUAUGAGUGGAAAAAUCGAAAAGAUAUUUGAUAUUGUUCCACAAGGUACAGGAGGAAGAUGGGCUCUUGGAACUGUUAUUCUUAUUUAUCUUGUAGCAUAUAAUGAAACGAGUGGCCCAAUUGCUGUUUUUUCAACAUUAUUAGCAGCUUUUUAUGGAUUUGUAUCGGCGAUGUGCCGAAAUGGAACAAAAAACCUUCAAAUAGCAUACAUUCGUGCCAGUAAUAAAUUUGAUUUUAUUUGUAUAUUUCUAUCCUUAUGGUUUGAUGCUUUAGCUAUAUUAACGGCAUGCUCAAUACUAGCAAGAACUUUAAGUAUAUGCGUAGACACAAUGACUGGAGGAUUAGCUAGGAUUUUAAUAUUAGGUAGAAAUUCACCUGUGAAUGAACCAUGGCCUGAUGUAUUAGGAGUAGGAGUGGUAUUUCUAAUAACUGGAAUGUUUAUGCUGGGAUUAGAGAAUUCAAAAGCUUUUAGUAUUAUAAUGACAAUUUCUAUGCUCGGAAUUAAUGGUAUUGUUAGUUGUGUCUCUUGGUAUAAUGGUGAUUAUAAGGAAUGGGAUAAAAAUUAUUUUCUUCCAAAUGGAUUGUAUUCGUUAUUAACAGCUUCUGCUAUAAGUACAUUCUCUUAUCCAACUGAAAUGCCUAAUAUACAAGGAUGGAAACGAUUAUUAGGAUUAUUAUUAAUUUUAUUAGUAUGUGGUUCAACAUUUUUAGCUGCAGGAUGUUUAUCAACUAUCGUCCAUUUAAAGACUGCACAUGAAUAUGUAGCCGUACCGCUUUUUUCAAUUUUAGAUGAAAAUAAUUUUAAAAAAUUUAUAGCUGCUGCUGCGUGCCUUUUAUUGCUGACUUCAUCAGCAGCAUUUUUGGAAUUAUUUCCAGAAUUAUAUCAAUUAAUUGUACGUUUUUCAACAACUGAAUUUAAAAUUUUAUCAAGACAAAUUAAUUAUGAAAGUCCAGACAGUGGCAAUCCAAUUUUAGCUAUUUUUAUUGCUGGAUCCCUUUGUGCAAUUAUGGCAUUUGCAGCACCAUUACAAAAUUUAACACAUAUAAUGGCAGCAAGUCAUUUAUUUUCUGGAUUAAUUAAAGCAUUUUAUUUGCUUUAUUUUCCAUUCCGUCCGAAAUUCAUGCAACAUUCAGUUUUUUGUCUUCCAGUUGAAUCUUCCCUAUCAUAUAGUAGAUUACCAGCAGCAAAUCAAAAUUUACAGGGUCCAUCUGGUCGUCGUAGUAAUAAUUGGAGACUCUCUGGACAAAAGUCAAAUCGUAAAAAUAAGAAAAAAAUUAAAAAUGAUGUUGAUAAAGAAUGGUUAUUACUUGGUGAACCAUCUUCCCCAUGUCAAAUUCCUAGAGAUCAAGAUGAUUUGGAAUCUACAAUAUUAUCAGAUGCUGAACCUUCGCCAACUGAUUUUGAAUUUCCUGGGCGUGUUGAUAAUUCUGAUUCAGAUACAUCGACUGAUAUUGAUGCAAUUGUUGAUGAAUAUCGUGAAAAAGUUAAAGUAACAACAGCAGGUCCAAUAGAUCGUUCUAGUAGAUUACCAUCGAUUGCUUCAUGGCGUGUAACAAUUUUUGCAAUUAUGUUAAUUAUAUUUGGUAUCGGACUCAUACUAUUUGGAAUUCAUUGUAAUUUAUUACCUGCUUAUAUAACUGGCCUAAUUGGAAUAUUUUUGGUCAGUGUUGUAAUGUCAUUUAUACCAAAGUAUAAUGGAAAUAUAAUUAAUGUUUCACCAAUUAUAUGCUCAAUUUCAUUAACAUUGGGAUCAAUUUUCUUGUCGUCAUGUUUAAUAGAUUCCUGGCCUGCAUUAUUAUUUUGGAUUUUAGCUGGAUUAUGUUUAGUGUUACGUUGCGAUACUUGGUGUUGUUCUUGUUUUGAAAUACCAAGUUCUGAUGAUUAUUUAAUAGCUCAAAGAACUAGAAAAGCUGCAAUACGUUUACCAAGGCCACCAAAAGGUAUUGUUAUACCGGGAAGGAUUCCAAAUCAUCAUCAAAAUCGAAAUCGGUGACAUUUAGUAUCAUCUGAAAGUGAUUUAUUUGUUAAUGGAGGUGGAGGGUCUAGCGAAGAUUGGACUGAAUAAAAAUUUAUAUAAUAUAAAUAUAACAAAAUAUACAUAAGACAUACGUAUGCAUAGUGAAAAAUGAAUUUGUUUUUUGCCCAGUCGAGUAAAAUUUUAUCGAAAUUCCAAAUUUUUGAAUAUUCUCUUUAAAGUCGCAAUUUUAUGUCUGUUAAGGAAAGCUAUAAAUUUAUGCAAACGGUAUGAAUAAUUGUGUUAAAUUAAAGUUUUUUCUAUUUAUAAAUGAAAUGUUUUAAAAAUUUCGUAACAAAAUUUUGAUGCCAUGUGAUAUUUAAUCCUUCUAUACACUUUUUUCUUAUGUCACUUUUGUAAUGUAAAAAAAAUUUAAUUUCUAAAUGUAAAAUGAAAAUUUUCUCACAUUUAUUUUUUUUAAUAUUAAAGAAAGAAGAAUUGAUGCCAGACUAAUAAAAUAAUUAAAUUUGAAGUAAUAAUAGUCUGGACAGUUUGCAGGAUUGGUUCAAAUUUGUAUGAAAAUCCGAACAUUUUAAAUUAUGAUAAAAAAAGACAAUAUAAAUAGGAGAUAUAGGGCUCUUACACAAUCAUUCUUAAAAAUCACAUUUAAUUCUUUGAAAUUUUAUAUUUUGGAUCUGGCAGAAAGUUGUUUUUGUUAUAUUUGUCAUUUUAUUAUACUAAGAAUAUGUGCAUAAUUUAAUAAUAAUAAGAAUAAUUUUCAUUUUAAAUUAUUUAUUUAUUUGUUAAUAAAAUAAUAUCUGUUAUACAGUUUUUAUAUAAUAUUUUCAAUUAUCACAUAGCUAAAAUCUUUAAGAAAUUUAACUAAAAUAAUAUUGAAACAGAAAAAUUCUAAAUGUAAAAUUUUACAAAAGCAAUUCAUUUUGUAUAACAAUAUUGGUAACUUGCAUAAUAAAAAAUUUCAUAUAAGUGCAUGUCUUUCAUAUUUCUUAUAAUUAAAAUUGUCGUAUAACUUUUUACAAUAAAAUACUUUACAUACUGUUAUACUCUAAACUUAUAAUUGUUAUACAAAUAUUUCGAAUAAUUAAAAAUUGCAUCU